UUAUAAAGAAAAGUAGGGUAAGAUUUGAUGGUUGAAAUGUUAGUGUUAUUAAAUUGGGGAGCACAGUUAGGUAAACAUAAGUGAAGGUUGCUAAUAUUGCAAAAGUUAGCAUAAUAAUGGAAAUGAAAAAGGGUUAUAGAAGGUGUGGGGGACCAAUCUACAUGCUAAGACUAAACAAGAGAGAGUCUGUGUAGGUCAAGAUCACAGCCUAACCCUAAUUUUCCCUAUAGAGUUGCCUUAUAGGAAACAAAAAUAGGUAACUAUGACCCUAUCAUUGAACCCUACUCUUCCUAUUCCACUGCAUAAAAGUUUUUCAUCUUUUCUUCUUUCGCCAACCCAACUCACAUCGAUCUGCCAUAAUCAUCCUCCUUUACCUAAUUAUUCACCCAUUUAGUUUUUCUCUUUUCCUCUCUCAUUGCCUCUUCACAUAUCACAUCACUUUCUUUCUUUCUUUUUUCACAAAAACUCUA
rnacentral:lncRNA from 1 species